GAUGGACGCUGGCGGCAGGCCUAAUACAUGCAAGUCGAGGGGUAGAAGAGGCUUGCUUCUUGAGACCGGCGCACGGGUGCGUAACGCGUAUGCAACCUACCUUCAUCUGGGGGAUAGCCCGGAGAAAUCCGGAUUAAUACCGCAUAAAAUCACAGGAUGGCAUUAUCCAAUGAUCAAACAUUUAUGGGAUGGAGAUGGGCAUGCGUGUCAUUAGCUAGUUGGCGGGGUAACGGCCCACCAAGGCGACGAUGACUAGGGGAUCUGAGAGGAUGGCCCCCCACACUGGUACUGAGACACGGACCAGAUUCCUACGGGAGGCAGCAGUAAGGAAUAUUGGUCAAUGGAGGCAACUCUGAACCAGCCAUGCCGCGUGCAGGAAGACUGCCCUAUGGGUUGUAAACUGCUUUUAUUCGGGAAUAAACCUUAUUACGUGUAAUAAGCUGAAUGUACCGAAGGAAUAAGGAUCGGCUAACUCCGUGCCAGCCGCCGCGGUAA
rnacentral:rRNA from 1 species